GAUGAACGCUGGCGGAGGGAAGAAUACAUGCAAGUCGAGCGAACAGACGAGGAGCUUGCUCCUCUGACGUUAGCGGCGGACGGGUGAGUAACACGUGGAUAACCUACCUGUAAGACUGGGAUAACUUCGGGAAACCGGAGCUAAUACCGGAUAAUAUAUUGAACCGCAUGGUUCAAUAGUGAAAGACGGUUUUGCUGUCACUUAUAGAUGGAUCCGCGCCGCAUUAGCUAGUUGGUAAGGUAACGGCUUACCAAGGCGACGAUGCGUAGCCGACCUGAGAGGGUGAUCGGCCACACUGGAACUGAGACACGGUCCAGACUCCUACGGGAGGCAGCAGUAGGGAAUCUUCCGCAAUGGGCGAAAGCCUGACGGAGCAACGCCGCGUGAGUGAUGAAGGUCUUCGGAUCGUAAAACUCUGUUAUUAGGGAAGAACAAAUGUGUAAGUAACUAUGCACGUCUUGACGGUACCUAAUCAGAAAGCCACGGCUAACUACGUG
rnacentral:rRNA from 1 species